rnacentral:lncRNA from 10 species
UGUGUUUUUUGAGAUGGACUCUCGCUCUGUUGCCCAGGUGUAGUGUGUGCCUGUGGUCCCAGCUACUUGGGAGGCCCAGGUGGGAGGAUGGCUUGAGCCCGGGAGUUCAAGACUGCAGUGAGCUAUGACCAUGCCACUGCACUUUAGCCUGGGCAACAGAGCAAGACUGUGUCUCCAAAAAGAAAAGAAAAUGGUGCUUUCCCUUCCUACUUAUUACAGUAAUUGACAGGAACAAAACAAUCAAGGGUGGACCCAGAGGUGUACAGUGAGGGCGUGGGCAUGUGUCCUCCUGGGACGAGGGAGAUCUGCCAGCAGGGUGAGACACUGUGACAGAGGUCUUGGAGUCAGGACAGGUGAGGACGCCGUGCCUGCCUGCACCUCACAGAGGCCAAGCGGCCCUUCUGUUGGUACUUACUUGAGAUUUUCUGAGCCCAU